UUGAAAUUAGAAUAAACGAACGGUAUAUAAACGGUAUAGGUGAGCUUUUGCAUAUGGUUGGUUUGCAUUCUUGUGAAAAUCAUCAGUUUCAAAUUGGUAUAUGAUAGUUUGAUGAUAUCAAUUUCGAAAAAAUACGGGAAGUAAGUGAAUGGAUCAACAUUUUUUGUCACGUUUAAAAUCUUAAGUUUUUGAAUAAUGCUGAGCCCAAUGAGAUCAGUAUUUUUCAAUAUUGGGAAACCUGUGUUCAUCUUGGAAAUCAUUUUUUUUCAUGCAUAAACAAAUCCUGAAAGUUUGGCACGAUACUACUCGAUUAUAACACGUUACGGUUUUUAUGCAAGUGUAUGUGUUGAGAAAAAUCUUCGAAAGUCACUUGUAAUAAUAAUGAACAAAAAAAUAUUGUGAGGUUUGCAAACUGUGCAAAAUGAUAACGUAACGACGCUGAAGUUUGCAACGUUGGAGUCCAACGAAAUGAAGGAAAAAAAACACUUGUAAUUCACCGAUUUAUUUCACGAAGCAUCGGUGUUGGUUGAAAAACCACGAAUUUGCAAAUUCGGGAGGAAAGAAAAUUGGAGAAUUACUCGAAUUAUCGGAGAGUUUUUUUUUACACCAUUUCGUUGGACUCCAACGUUGCAAACUUCAACGUCAUAUAACGUAGCAGUGCUUUGAACUCAGGCUGAAAUAACAAUGGGGUUCGACAGCUGGAUUUAGGGAAAUUUCUUUGGACAUUGGUUAGUGGUACAAAGAAAAUUUGACCAAUUUCUCACUCUAAAUAAAUCAAUAAUCCACGCUUAUUAAUCAUCUAGUGGUAAAAAGUUAAAAAAAAAUUUAAUCUAUAGAAAGUUCUUUUUCUUCUCAAGUCACAGAGUCACUAUGCUCCUUAUGCGCAAAGACACCGGAGCUUCACAGCAUAUUAAAGCUAAAAUGUUAAAAUAUUAUGGACAGAUACGCUGUAGGAGACAGCUGACAGUUGGCGGAGGAAAACGGCUGUGAAAACUUGUUAAAAGUAUGCCAACUAGUCUUGAGAAACUAAAUCGAAAUUAAUGACUCGUUUAUCAUCAUUACUUUCUAAGAGAGAAAGAUGUGACUUUUUUCAAGAGUAAUAAAAAUUGAAAUUUGUUCUUUAAGAGGGUGAAACAGGGUUUUGAAGUUUCGAAUAAAUAUUUUUUGGCAAAUAUCAUAUUUCUUGUCUGAUUCUCUGAGAUUCAUUUUUUAUACUCUUGAAAAAAGUAUUGCUUCGGGUCAAAUAUAAAGACUGCAAAGUCAGACCUACGAAUAUCGUAAUACUUUCAAUUUUAAUUUAUUCGUUAAAACAUAAAAAUUUUUAGAGAAAUAAGUUGAACUAUUUAAAAAGGAUAAAAUUAUUGAAGUUUUGACAGUAGUUUGAAUGCAAAAGAGAGCGAAAAUUAUAAUACGACUCGAACUUUGGCAUUGUGACUCCAUUUAUUCUUCAAUAGUUUACCUUUGACUGUGCCAAAAUUUCUGGUAUAAAAAUACGUUUAUGGAGGUUGUCUAAAAUAAAAGGGAAAGAAAAACAUUGGAUACAAUAUUUAAUCACCAAGGUUGCAAUUGUUUCCAAAUAAUAAGAACCAAUUUCUGGUGAGAAAUUCAACGACGAAAGUCUAGAACUUAUGGCCCCUCUGUUAAACCCUUAACCGAAUCUGAGGCAUGCAUAUAGCACAAACAACCACAAGCUCAUUGGUCUCUGUCGACCACGCUAUUUCGAGUCCAAUGAAAAGACUAAAAAUAGACACUUCAACUUGCGAAUUCAAUUAGCUAAACGCUGUGGUGGUAGUCAUAACGAAUGUAUAAGGAGACAUAAAUUGCAGAUAAAGUUCUCAAUGAAAGGAAUGAGCACUUUUCAGACUCCUAUAAGAACUCGAAAUUUUUAGGCUUUGCAAAACUUUAUAAAAUCCGACAAAUACGACAACAGAAGUUCUUUGGGCGAAGCUUGAUUAAAAAUAUUCCUUUAAAUAUCAAAUGUUAAAGACAAACCGUUAAAAAUUCCUGAAUUAAAUGAAAUAGGUAAAAAUUAGUAGAAGAAUGUUAAACUGACAAUGAGUGUAAAAUAAUGACAUCGAAAUUUUUCGCAUUCUAGUUUGUUUUUCCGUCAAUAAACUUUAUUUUGUAAACACAAGCUCUAUUUGAGCCUGGGCUUGAAACAUUGCCAGAACAGCAUCGCACUGUUUGCGAAUUUUGUUUUUUUCUUAUCAAUGGUAAUGUUCAUCCAAGAACUCCAAAGUGACUAUUAACCAUUUUCCCAGAACUCUGGGAUGAAUUCAAUUCCGAAUCGAAAACUGUGUUUUUCCUUUUAAUCCAAUAUCUUGUUAUUUCAACUUGUUUUUUUUUCUUUUAGUAUUUCUAGACAAAAUUCCAGAAUUUGAUCAACGAGAGUCUUAAAAGAUUAUUAAUUAAGGAAAAGAAAGUUAAGUAUUUGAAUAAUAAUAACAUGAAGAUCCUCUUUUUUUAUAAUACUUUUAUUGCAAUAAAUAUAAUAAACAAUAAUUAUUGUUUGGCGUUACAAUUAUUUUUUUUUCGUUUCAACAGUCAAUUCUAUACAUAUAAUAUUGGGGGGUUGGGGAAAAAGAGUGGGAGGAUUACAAUAAUUUUUUUUCUUUAGCGGAAAAUGAAGCAGAAAUUGCUUAUCUCAGUAUACGUAAUACAUUUGCAGCGUGUAGAAUAAAGUGAAAUGUGUAGAAAAACAAAAACCGAGAGCGAGUAAAGCAGCUACAAAAAAUUACGCGCACGUCAAAGAAUCGCAUCGAAAGUUGGACAAUAGCAAAGGGGAUAAGAUCUCUCUUUUUUUUUUCUAUUAUCAGAAUUGCCUUAAUUGAGGCAACCUGCGUGGUCGCGUCGAGGCAUUUGCGAUGCGCCCAUUCACGCCAUACCGGAAAUUACUUUUGCGGUUUAAAACCGUUUGACAAGCCUGUUGCUGUUGCUGUAAUUACCGAAACAAGCAAAAACAUCUCGAGUAGUGAUUACGCUCAGGAGCUAAACCAUCGUUAUUCCAUUUUUCAAAUCGUUUUUACCUCUUUCAGCGAUAUUAAUUGCCAAUUUAUUUAUAUAUUCUCAUGUUAGCCAUCUAAGAAUAUACCACGAGCAGUUUAACAAACAAAUAAAACGACGAAAUAUUGUAAAAACGAUUUUAAAACUGUAGCGCCAAUCCGGUUAGUCCGCAACGAAAUGAUUUGUAGUCACCCUGAGACACGGGAAUAGAGACGCGAAGGGAAUUUUACAUACGUUACUUUUUGGAGCUGCCAUACAGAGCGAUUUUUAUAUAACCAAUCGAUUUCUCUUCUUUUCGCCAUUUCUUUUCAUCCACAUUAUUAUUAGUUUUCUUGGUUGUAGAGUAUUAUAAUGUUGUCUCAAGUCUGUUCUGUAUGUUACAAUAAUAAAUUGCGAAUGUGAAUUGUAUUUACACAAUUACUUUAAACGAAAAAAAAAUUUUUUUUUUUUAAAGAAAGAAAAGGAAAAAAAAUUAA